GGGCCCGCACAAGCGGCGGAGCAUGCGGAUUAAUUCGAUGCAACGCGAAGAACCUUACCAAGGCUUGACAUAUAGAGGAAAAGUGCAGAAAUGCACUCCCCGCAAGGUCUCUAUACAGGUGGUGCAUGGCUGUCGUCAGCUCGUGUCGUGAGAUGUUCGGUUAAGUCCGGCAACGAGCGCAACCCACAUCCCUAGUUGCCAGCAGUUCGGCUGGGCACUCUAUGGAAACUGCCCGUGAUAAGCGGGAGGAAGGUGUGGAUGACGUCAAGUCCUCAUGGCCCUUACGGGUUGGGCUACACACGUGCUACAAUGGUAGUGACAAUGGGUUAAUCCCAAAAAGCUAAUCUCAGUUCGGAUUGUCGUCUGCAACUCGACGGCAUG
rnacentral:rRNA from 1 species